AUGCCAGCUAAUUGGACCCCACCCCAAAUAUCCCCAGCUCUGGCUCCAGAGGAUUAUGGCAGCUCAUACGAGGGAUCAGUGUCCUUCAGGAAUGUGGCUAUAGAUUUCAGCAGAGAGGAAUGGCAGCACCUGGACCCCUCACAGAGAAACCUUUACCAGGAUGUGAUGCUGGAGACCUACAGCCACCUGCUCUCAGUGGGGUACCAAGUUCCCAAAGCAGAGGUGGUCAUGUUGGAGCAAGGAAAGGAGCAUUGCAGGGUGAGAGUCUACAUCAGAGAUGUCCAGGAGAAAAAUUACUGGACCAUAAUCAAUGUGGAAAAAUCCUAAGUUAUAAACAAACAUCCUCUCAACAUCAGAAAAUAUAUACUGAAGAGAAAUCCUACAAAUAUGACAAAUUUCAAAAGAUCUUCACCCAAAAGUUACAGUUUAAGGUACUUCUGAAAGGUCAUAUAGGAGAAAAACUGUAUGUAUGUACUGAAUGUGGCAAGGCUUUUGUGCAGAAGUCAGAGUUAAUUACACAUCAGAAAACCCAUACAAGAGAGAAGCCCUAUAAAGGCAAUGAAUGCGGAAAAUCCCUUCUCCAAGCAUCUUCUCUCUUUAGGCAUCAGAGAAUUCAUACCAGAGAAAAUCUCUAUGAAUUCAGUGAAUCUGGGAGAGGUUUCCCUUAUAACACAGAUCUCAAUAUACAUGAGAAAAUUCAUACUGGAGAGAGACACCCUGAAUACAGAGAUUGUGGCAAACCCUCCACCCUCAAGAUAAAUGAGGAAAUUGAUACAAGUGAGGGAUCCUAUGUAUGUAUUGAAUGUGGACAGGUCUUCAUUCAGAAGACAGAAUUGAUUACACAUCAAAGAAUUCAUAUUGCAUAAAAACCACAUGAAUACAGUCUCUGUGGGCAACCCUUCAUUUCCAAGUCCAAACUUGAGGCACAUCAACAAAGUCACACAAGAGUGAAACCCUAUGUAAGUACAGAAUAUGGGAAGGUAUUCAACAAUAGUUCCAACUUCAUUACACAUGAGAAAGUUAAAAUUAGAGAAAAAUCUUUCAUAUGUACUGAAUGUGGAAAGGCUUUUACAUACAGGUCAGAGUUGAUUAUACAUAAGAGAAUUCACACUGGAGAGAAACCUUAUGAAUGCAGUGACUGUGGAAAAGCCUUCACUUAGAAGUCAACACUCACAGUGCAUCGGAGAAUUCAUACAGGAGAAAAAUCAUAUGUAUGCAUGAAAUGUGGGCUAGCUUUUAUCCGGAAGGCACACUUGGUUGCACAUCAAAUAAUUCAUACUGGAGAGAAACCUUAUGAAUGUGGUGACUGUGGGAAAUUCUUUACUUCCAAGUCACUACUCCAUGUGCAUAAACGAAUUCACACAGGAGAAAAACCCUAUAUGUGCAGUAAAUGUGGGAGGGCAUUCACCAGCAGGUCAAAUCUAAUUACACAUCAGAAAACUCACAUAGGAGAGAAAGCCUAUAUAUGCUCUAAAUGUGGAAAGGCCUUCACUCAGAGGUCAGACUUGAUUACACAUCAGAGAAUCCAUACUGGAGAGAAGCCUUAUGAAUGCAGUACUUGUGGAAAAGCCUUCACGCAGAAGUCAAACCUCAAUAUACACCAGAAAAUUCAUACUGGAGAGAGACAAUAUGAAUGCCAUGAAUGUGGGAAAGCUUUCAACCAGAAAUCAAUACUCAUUGUGCAUCAGAAGAUUCACACAGGAGAGAAACCUUAUGUAUGCACUGAGUGUGGAAGAGCCUUCAUCCGGAAGUCAAACUUUAUUACUCACCAGAGAAUUCACACUGGAGAGAAACCUUAUGAAUGCAGUGAUUGUGGGAAAUCCUUCACAUCCAAGUCUCAGUGCCUGGUGCAUCAGGCGAUUCACACAGGAGAGAAACCCUAUGUGUGUGCUGAGUGUGGGAAAGCCUUUAGUGGCAGGUCAAAUCUCAGUAAACACCAGAAAAUUCAUACAGGAGAAAAGCCCUACAUGUGCUCUGAAUGUGGGAAGACCUUUAGACAGAAGUCAGAGUUGAUUACACAUCACGGAAUUCACACUGGGGAGAAACCUUACGAAUGCAGUGACUGUGGGAAAUCUUUCACUAAGAAAUCACAGCUCCAAGUCCAUCAGCGAAUUCAUACAGGAGAGAAACCUUAUGUGUGUGCUGAGUGUGGGAAGGCCUUUAGCAAUAGGUCAAAUUUGAAUAAACAUCAGACAACACACACAGGAGACAAACCCUACAAGUGUGCAGUCUGUGGGAAAGGCUUCUUUCAGAAAUCAGUGCUCAACAUGCAUCAGAGUAUUCACACUUGAGAGAAACAGAGGGAGAAAACCUCACUGAGGUCAGGUUUGAUUGUACAUUAUUGAAUCCAUGCAGCAGGAAAAUAUGUAUAUUAUUUGAACUAGGAAUGCCCACAUCAGAAUGUCAUACAGUAUUGUUCAGAAAAGGAUGUCUGAGAAAGCACUGAAUGAGGUGAGGGAAGCUUCCCACAUUGUCACUAGCUUCAUUAAAUCCUGGAACAUUCAUCCUGAGAAGGAACCAAGUCAAUUGG